rnacentral:rRNA from 1 species
AGAGUUUCGAUCCUGGCUCGAGGACGACGCUGGCGGCGUGCUUAACACAUGCAAGUCGACGGAAAGGCCCUGCUUUUGUGGGGUGCUCGAGUGGCAACGGGUGAGUAACACGUGAGUAACCUGCCCUUGACUUUGGGAUAACUUCAGGAAACUGGGGCUAAUACCGGAUAGGAGCUCCUGCUGCAUGGUGGGGGUUGGAAAGUUUCGGCGGUUGGGGAUGGACUCGCGGCUUAUCAGCUUGUUGGUGGGGGUAGUGGCUUACCAAGGCUUUGACGGGUAGCCGGCCUGAGAGGGUGACCGGCCACAUUGGGACUGAGAUACGGCCCAGACUCCUACGGGAGGCAGCAGUGGGGAAUAUUGCACAAUGGGCGGAAGCCUGAUGCAGCAACGCCGCGUGCGGGAUGACGGCCUUCGGGUUGUAAACCGCUUUCGCCUGUGACGAAGCGUGAGUGACGGUAAUAGGUAAAGAAGCACCGGCUAACUACGUG